GGUAUCCUGUCUGAAUAUGGGGGGACCAUCCUCCAAGGCUAAAUACUCCUGACUGACCGAUAGUGAACCAGUACCGUGAGGGAAAGGCGAAAAGAACCCCGGCGAGGGGAGUGAAAAAGAACCUGAAACCGUGUACGUACAAGCAGUGGGAGCACGCUUAGGCGUGUGACUGCGUACCUUUUGUAUAAUGGGUCAGCGACUUAUAUUCUGUAGCAAGGUUAACCGAAUAGGGGAGCCGAAGGGAAACCGAGUCUUAACUGGGCGUUAAGUUGCAGGGUAUAGACCCGAAACCCGGUGAUCUAGCCAUGGGCAGGUUGAAGGUUGGGUAACACUAACUGGAGGACCGAACCGACUAAUGUUGAAAAAUUAGCGGAUGACUUGUGGCUGGGGGUGAAAGGCCAAUCAAACCGGGAGAUAGCUGGUUCUCCCCGAAAGCUAUUUAGGUAGCGCCUCGUGAAUUCAUCUCCGGGGGUAGAGCACUGUUUCGGCAAGGGGGUCAUCCCGACUUACCAACCCGAUGCAAACUGCGAAUACCGGAGAAUGUUAUCACGGGAGACACACGGCGGGUGCUAACGUCCGUCGUGAAGAGGGAAACAACCCAGACCGCCAGCUAAGGUCCCAAAGUCAUGGUUAAGUGGGAAACGAUGUGGGAAGGCCCAGACAGCCAGGAUGUUGGCUUAGAAGCAGCCAUCAUUUAAAGAAAGCGUAAUAGCUCACUGGUCGAGUCGGCCUGCGCGGAAGAUGUAACGGGGCUAAACCAUGCACCGAAGCUGCGGCAGCGACGCUGAUGCGUUGUUGGGUAGGGGAGCGUUCUGUAAGCCUGCGAAGGUGUGCUGUGAGGCAUGCUGGAGGUAUCAGAAGUGCGAAUGCUGACAUAAGUAACGAUAAAGCGGGUGAAAAGCCCGCUCGCCGGAAGACCAAGGGUUCCUGUCCAACGUUAAUCGGGGCAGGGUGAGUCGACCCCUAAGGCGAGGCCGAAAGGCGUAGUCGAUGGGAAACAGGUUAAUAUUCCUGUACUUGGUGUUACUGCGAAGGGGGGACGGAGAAGGCUAUGUUGG
rnacentral:rRNA from 1 species